CGAAACCAGUAUAAACCCGGAACAGAAUGUGUGUAUUCGGGCAAACGGAACACGGUGAAAUUCCGUGACGGUCCCGCCGCUGUAAUCGGAAAUAUCUGUUUUUUCAACACGCCACUGCGUCAGCGGGAAGGCAGGAAAAAACAGGUUUAAUGCCGAAAGUCAGAAGACGUGCCGGAAUACCAUGUGUGUA
rnacentral:ncRNA from 2 species